GAGAACUGAUCACAUUACCGUAUUACGGCCCGCGAUGAUGCUUUGCCAAAACCGACAAAAAGUUCGUUUUCGUCAAGGACGAGGUUUUGCAAUGUAUCACAGCUGGCUGUUAGUCGGAUUCAGCAGCAGAGGAGCA
rnacentral:precursor_RNA from 10 species